GGCUUUAUAGUCAAUUAUUAUGAUAUUAGACUGCAAUUCUGAAGUAGUGUUAUACACUAAAGCUU
rnacentral:tRNA from 1 species